rnacentral:rRNA from 1 species
AACGAACGCUGGCGGUGCGUUUUAAGCAUGCAAGUCGAACGGCAGGAAGGUGCUUGCACUUUCCUAGAGUGGCGGACUGGUGAGUAACGCGUAGGUGAUCUACCUUUAAGACUGGGACAGCCUUUAGAAAUAAGGGGUAAUACCGGAUGUGCUUAUUAUGUUUUGACGUAGUAAGGGAAGGAGCGUUUGCUCCGCUUAGAGAUGAGCCUGCGUCCCAUUAGCUAGUUGGUGAGGUAACGGCCUACCAAGGCGAUGAUGGGUAUCCGACCUGAGAGGGUGAUCGGACACAUUGGGACUGAGAUACGGCCCAAACUCCUACGGGAGGCAGCAGCUGAGAAUCUUCCGCAAUGGACGAAAGUCUGACGGAGCGACACCGCGUGAAUGAUGAAGGCCGAAAGGUUGUAAAGUUCUUUUGCAGACAAAGAAUAAGGAUAGAAGGAAAUGUCUAUUUGAUGACGGUAGUUAUGCGAAUAAGCCCCGGCUAAUUACGUGCCAGCAGCCGCGGUAAUACGUAAGGGGCGAGCGUUGUUCGGAAUUAUUGGGCGUAAAGGGCAUGUAGGCGGUUGGGUAAGCCUGAUGUGAAAUCUACGAGCUUAACUCGUAAACUGCAUUGGGUACUGCUCAUCUUGAAUCAUAGAGGGGGAACUGGAAUUCCAAGUGUAGGGGUGGAAUCUGUAGAUAUUUGGAAGAACACCGGUGGCGAAGGUGGGUUCCUAGCUAAUGAUUGACGCUGAUGUGCGAAGGUGCGGGGAGCAAACAGGAUUAGAUACCCUGGUAGUCCGCACAGUAAACGAUGUACACUAGGUGUUGGGGUAAAACUCAGUGCCGGCGCAAACGCAAUAAGUGUACCGCCUGGGGAGUAUGCCCGCAAGGGUGAAACUCAAAGGAAUUGACGGGGGCCCACACAAGCGGUGGAGCAUGUGGUUUAAUUCGAUGAUACGCGAGGAACCUACCUGGGUUUGACAUCAAGAGGGAUACUAUAGAGAUAUGGUAGCGUAGCAUACGUCUCUGGACAGGUGCUGCAUGGGCUGUCGUCAGCUCGUGCCGUGAGGUGUUUGGGUUAAGUCCGCAACGAGCGCAACCCCUACUGCCAGUUACUACAGGGUAUGCUGAGGACCUCUGGCGAAACUGCCCGGUAAUUACCCGAGGAAGGGUGGGGAAUACGUCUAGUUAUCAUG